UACGUAGGGGGCUAGCGUUGUCCGGAAUCAUUGGGCGUAAAGAGUGCGCAGGCGGUUGAUCAAGUCGAGUGUGAAAGCCCCCGGCUCAACUGGGGAGGGUCAUUCGAUACUGAUCGACUCGAAGGCAGGAGAGGGUAGUGGAAUUCCCGGUGUAGUGGUGAAAUGCGUAGAUAUCGGGAGGAACACCAGUGGCGAAGGCGACUACCUGGCCUGUUCUUGACGCUGAGGCGCGAAAGCUAGGGGAGCAAACGGG
rnacentral:rRNA from 1 species